rnacentral:rRNA from 1 species
AGGGCACCACCAGGAGUGGAGCCUGCGGCUUAAUUUGACUCAACACGGGAAAACUCACCCGGCCCGGACACUGGAAGGAUUGACAGAUUGAGAGCUCUUUCUUGAUUCAGUGGGUGGUGGUGCAUGGCCGUUCUUAGUUGGUGGAGUGAUUUGUCUGGUUAGUUCCGAUAACGAACGAGACUCUAGCCUACUAAAUAGAUCGUCGGCUUACAAACGCCGGCGAGACUUCUUAGAGGGACAGGCGGUGAUUCAACCGCACGAAACAGAGCAAUAACAGGUCUGUGAUGCCCUUAGAUGUCCGGGGCCGCACGCGCGCUACACUGAAGUGAUCAGCGUGCUUUUUCAACCUACUCUGUCAAGAGUGGGGAACCCAAUGAACCUUCUUCGUGAUUGGGAUAGGGGAUUGUAAUUAUUCCCCUUGAACGAGGAAUUCCCAGUAAGCGCGAGUCGUAAGCUCGCGUUGAUUACGUCCCUGCCCUUUGUACACACCGCACGUCGCUACUACCGAUUGAAUGUUUU